GACGAACGCUGGCGGCGUGCUUAACACAUGCAAGUCGAACGGAGUGGCGAACGGGUGAGUAACACGUGGGUGAACUGCCCUGCACUUCGGGAAAAGCUUGGGAAACUGGGUCUAAUACCGGAUAGUGCAAGAUGAGCUCGCGGCCUAUCUGCUUGUUGGUGGGGUAAUGGCCUACCACGGCGUCGACGGGUAGCCGGCCUGGGAGGGUGUACGGCCACAUUGGGACUGAGGUACGGCCCAGACGCCUACGGGAGGCAGCAGUGGGGAAUAGGGCACAAUGGGCGGAAGCCUGAUGCAGCGGCGCCAGGUGGGGGAUGAAGGCCUUCGGGUUGUAAACUCCUUUCGACAGGGACGCGGUACCUGUAGAAGAAGCACCGGCUAACUACGUGCCAGCAGCCGCGGUAAUAC
rnacentral:rRNA from 1 species